AGUGAACGCUGGCGGCAGGCCUAACACAUGCAAGUCGAACGGCAGCGGGUCCUUCGGGAUGCCGGCGAGUGGCGGACGGGUGAGGAAUACAUGGGAAUCUGCCCAGUCGUGGGGGAUAACGUAGGGAAACUUACGCUAAUACCGCAUGCGACCUUAGGGUGAAAGCGGCGGACCGCAAGGAGUUGCGCGAUUGGAUGAGCCCAUGUCGGAUUAGCUAGUUGGCGGGGUAAAGGCCCACCAAGGCGACGAUCCGUAGCUGGUCUGAGAGGAUGAUCAGCCACACUGGAACUGAGACACGGUCCAGACUCCUACGGGAGGCAGCAGUGGGGAAUAUUGGACAAUGGGCGCAAGCCUGAUCCAGCCAUGCCGCGUGAGUGAAGAAGGCCUUCGGGUUGUAAAGCUCUUUUGUCCGGAAAGAAAAGCUCUCGGUUAAUACCCGGGGGUUCUGGCGGUACCGGAAGAAUAAGCACCGGCUAACUUCGUGCCAGCCGCCGCUGUAACAC
rnacentral:rRNA from 1 species